CUUGCAUGUUGUCACCGUCGGAUACGGGAGGCCACUGAUUGUGUUGCUAGGCCAGAUUAGAAGUGAAAUUCUCCUUUGAGGUUUAGGUUGGAUGGUGAACUCCGUAGCUUAUAGAUUGUGGUUGUCCUUUUUGGAUCAGUGUAUUGCUGCAGUUGCGCCAGUAUAUGUUGUUUUCAUGCAACUGGUCUUUGGGUCGGUGAACAAGAGCUAGAGACACAAGGUGAUAACACUGUUUGUGCCAUUUGUUUCUUUCAGUUUUACUCAUGGGACACUGAUGAUUGAUGGAGCAGGACCGCUACCACUCCUUGCCUACGUAAAGCACGUGCCAGAUCUGAGCCAGUGAAGGCACUGGUGCCCGUGCAACGCAUCAUCGUUGUAAUGGUGAAUAGCAUAUGAAGCCUCCUAAUUUGUAGCGGUGCAAGUUGUAGCCUUUUUGAAGUGGAGCAGCUUUGUCUGGUUGGCCUUCAAUUAUUUGUUGGAACUGCUCUGUCAAAUCCUUACCUUUCUUUUGCAGAGGCACUGAAUGGUUUGGCUGGUCCACAAUAGUCUCAGGUAAUCUUGAUUUUACAUGGUGAAUGUUCUCUGUUGCAUUAUGAUCAACUUGUGCUUGCCAAAUGGAUCUCGUGAAACAAAUUCCUCCUAAUAAUAAAUUGUAAAAGUCCUAAUGAAGAAAAAUAUGUUCAUGUCCUUCUAAAACGAUGUAUGUACUGGUUGGCUUUGUGAUUCCUCUCAGAUUGUGCUUUUCGUUCUUAUGUAGCAAUGCAUCACUUCUCUAGGUGAAAAAAUGAUGGAAACAAAGGCUCUGUUUAAAUUUGUUGCCCUUUUAUAUCUUCCAGCCUUUAUCAUACAUUCUUCUUAUCCAAUUGUGAGUUUAAGUAGUUACACCUAUCAUUGUAAGCCUGUAGGAAGCAAAUAUUUUCAUGUGAAUUUUAUUUCUCUGUGAUGGUUUUACCAGAAAGAAAUCAUAGCCACUAUUACAUCAUUGUUAUUUAUCUUACUGUGCCGUUGUAUCUGUAUACUCUAUUUACGUCUUUUUGACAUUCCCAGUUUUGUUUUUUCUAUGGUAUAUAUUUGACUCCUUUCCAUGCCAUUUGGCUUUGAAUCUGUCCUCAUGGUCAUGUCUGCAGGUAUAUAGUGCACUCGAAGCUAUAUAUAUUGUUAUCUACAGACCGUGUAUCAUAAAUUUCUGUUUUACCUUAUGCUUCUCCUGGUGGUUUUCUUCCUGGGUGAUUGUGUGCUCAUAUGCCAUUGGUCAAUAUCCAUGUUUAUAGAGGAUGCCCACUUUUCUUAGUUACAUACCGAUUCUUAAUAGUCGUGCAAUGCCUGCUCGGGUUAGUUCUUUGAAUGAAUACAUAUAAUAAAUGUAUGGGGGUUCCAAUAUCAAGUGUACCACCUGGUUAUUGCUUACCCAACUAAUACGUGCUGCUUGGUGAUAAAGGAGAAACAGCUAGAAAAAUAAUUAAUAAAGUGUACCACGUGCUUAUUGUUUUAUACACAGUCGCUUGAUUCUUUUUGUUCCUCUAUAGGCCUCUGAUCCUGUUUGCAGUGUGCGGCUAGGUUGUUCGUCCACCUAGGUCGUAGGUUCUUUCCUUCCUGCCAACGGUAGGUACAAGACUCAAGCAAUGGUUAACGGGCAAGCACUAUAUACACCAUCCAUCUAUGCUAAUAUAGCCUGUCUUUUAAAAGCCAAUGUAUUCUAUUACCAAGUGAUCUGAAUAUUUUCUUUUAAGCAUCAAACUUUCAUGUAAUGGAAUAUAAGUAUCUUUAAGUUGAUUCUAAAUCAAUCUCAUGCACAUGCUUUGAAUGC